UCUGCUAAUAUUUCUCUAUGGAGUUGUGCAGCUGGUUGUAGGAACAAAAUAUAAAUAUUGCAUGUUACACUAAGAGGAAAUGAAACAUAUCAGUUGUAAGCACUUAUUACUAUGGCCUACAGCUGUCUGUUUCUAAUUUUUGAGGUAAUUUUUAAUUACCUAAAUGUACUCAUGGUGUAUUUUAAACUGUACUGCUGCAAACAUUGUUUGCCGAGAAUAGAGCUUGCGUAUCAUCUCCUAUACAGCUCUGCCUGAGUCUCUCACAGGUUGCAGCCGUGAAGAGCUGGCCUAGGCUGGGUGUCCCUGGUAGGGACCUAUCUGCCAUCGCAGGUCUUCUCACUGUGAACUGCCUGCUGUCCGUCCCCUCCUCCCGUGGACCUGCUGUCCUGCCUGUUUUCCUUGUGGUCUUACCGCUCCAAUCUGUCUGUCCUCGUGUGGUCUUCCCAUCUCUGGGGAGGGCAUGUGUUCUGCUUCUUUCUUUCGUCGGAGUCGCAUCCCAGACACAUGUCCCGUGUGCCGCCUGAGCCCCAUGCUCCCGGUAAGAGUCACUUCCUUCUAAAGGUAAUGCAGUCCCUCUGAUCUGUCCCUCAUGGGUCACACACUGCCCCCAAGUUUAGGGCCUGUGAGAGUCAACUUAAGAUUCAAACAAAUAAAACAGCACCCACCAAUGUGCUUCUUGUGAGCAUUAAAGGAAACAGCACCAGCUAGAGCUGAGUGCUGUCUGCACCCUGUGGAGCCAGUAGUUUGGGGGUGCAGCUCAGAGGCUGCAUGGAAAGAUUCUAUCAAGCCAAAGUGGCGUGCAAAUGAGAAGUCUGCUUUAAAAUUCAGCUCCAAUCUCAUUUGAAAUUUAAAAUAGUUCAUUUCUUUUUACUUAUAUGCAUAACUUUAAGUACCAGUUAAAACAAUAAAAAUUUAAAAAACCAAAUUGACCAAAAAUUCAAUAGGAUUUUUUGAAGAACAGAAAAAAGUGGUAUUUAUCCUCUGCUUGCUGUUUUCAAACAGGUAAAGCUUAGUGUGGUGGUAAAUUCCAAGGAGGUAAAGGCCAAAGGAUUGGGAGUCGUAAGGGCAGCCUUGGCUAUUUGAUGUCCUUUCUCAAGUCCUGCCCUCAUGAAGAAGUUUGUAGGGAAAAAAAAGUGUGCUUGAGGGAAUUAACUCUCCCCUAGCAAAGCCAGGUUCUAUGUGGCUGAGCUCUGUGCAGCAAACCCUAGGAGGAAGUGAGAAUUUCUCCAAAGUCUGGACCAAGUUUCCCUGCCUUCUGGAGGGUGGGCUGGGGAAUAGAGCUUGGCACUGGAGAAAGGUGGGAGGCCUAGCAGUGCUGACCUUUGAACUCCCUUGGAGUCAGAUCCCAUACCAGAACCACAGCCCAGGAGGCAUGACGUGUGCAUUGCUGUUUAAGAAUGGAAAGUCACCGGGUGAUAUCAGCAUUUGACAGUAGCCAGCUGCAUCACAUGGAGAGAGCCUCCUUCCAUCAGUGUUGGCCACCUGCAGUCUCCGACUCGUGACUGCAGGUACCCUGCAUAAGCACACAGCACUGCCGUCCGUCCAUCGGUCUCCAGGACCUGGACAAUGACAUUGGAAAUAGAGUUAGGGGCCUUCCACAUUUUUAACAUUUAGAUCAUUUUGUCACUGUCUUUGAUGUAGGUUUUUUUGUGGUAUUCUUGUUUGGUUGGUUGGGUUUGGGUUUUGUUUUGGAGAUAGAGUCUCACUGUAUAGUUUCCACUGUCUGGAAUUCAGAGAUCUACCUAUCUGUCUUCCAAGUGCUGGAAUUAAAGGAAUGGUUGCCUCGUGCCUGGCAUCUUUGAUGUUUUUGUCUUUAGUUUUAGGUGGUAAAAUGUCUUUUCAUAUAAUUAUGUUGUAAUGGAUUCCAGUUAAGCACCAGCGUUUUCGUCUGGACGUGGUGUCUCCAAAAGAACCUGCUGCAGCUCGUGACCUGGUGCAUCGGGUGUUGGCAUAUGGAAGAAUGGCUUCUCGGUCACUUUUCAGUAUAGGUUCAAAACUCCUGAGGGUUAGGCCAUCAGCUUUGAGUCCUUCCCAGUCACUCCUGGGUUUUUGAACGUACCUGCUGUCAAGACUUUACUGGGUCUGUCAGGAUUCACUGAAGUUGCCAUGUUGUGGUACUGACCAUUCUGUGUUCUCCUGGGUACUCUAUGGGCCACCAUGACGAGAACGCUUGCCUGCCAUGAGGUGUUCACUGCCUGCUUUAGAUGUUGUGAGGACCAGUUCUCAUGCCUUUUGCUGCAUUUCUCUGACCUUAUUCCUCCACUCUUCCUGGAUCCUACCAGGCACCUCUCCUCCUCAUACUUACUCAGUAUCUUAGGGUUUUACUGCUGUGAAGAGACAGCAUGACCAAGGCAACUCUUAGCAUCUCUUUGGGGCUGGCUGACAGGUUCAGAGGUUCAGUCCAUUAUCAAGGUGGGAACAUGUCAGCAUCUAGGCAGACAUGGUGCAGGAGGAACUGGGAGUCCUGUAUUUUCAUAUGAAGGCUGCUAGCAGAAGACUGGUUUCCAGGCAGCUAGGGUGAGGGUCUUAAAGCCCACACCCACAGUGACACACCUACUUCAACAGGGCCACACUUUGUAAUAGUGCACGCCAAACAUACAGACCACCACAUCAGGCUGUGGCUCUGAGCUGCAGGCCUGUGCUCACUGUGGCAUCAUCGUGAGUGCAGGCCCGGCAGUGUGCUGAGCUGUCAGUUUUCCCGCCAGUGAUAGAAACAGACGGCAGUGGACACCCGUGCUUUCACGUACUCCAGACACAGCACCUUUCCUGGAGCAGAGCUACGUGGCUCCCAGGUCUGCCCAUCUGCAUCUCCUCUGCCUGACCACUGGACACUCAUUUAAAAAAAAAAAUGCAGCCGGGCCCUCAAAGUGGGGAGGCUGGCUAUUGUAUGCUACUCAUCCAUCGACUGUUCAGUCCUGGGUGGGCCGCCCGUCCUUGGGCUCACUUCAUUUGAGGAUGCUUUUGGAAAAAGAAGCAUGAAAAGUGGAAGGGACUUUUGAGGGUGAAUAAAAAUUCUUAAAGCUCUUUGAGCUUGGACGGCAAGGGGUGGUUUAAAAUGCAUGUCGGAAUCUGGUGAAAGUUGUCCUGACUUCCACCAGCUCUGAACCUCAGGAUCAUGGGGUCUGUGCCUCCUUCUCCUCUGUUGCUACAAGGCUGAGUGACCUCCUCUCUGGCUUGUUUUCAUGUGUGUGCAUGCACACAUGCACAUGCGGUGCAUUCUCCUGUGUCUGCAUGUGUGUUGGUCAACACUGGCGUCUCCCUCUAACUAACACUUUACACUGUUUUCAGGUAGUGUCUCACUGAAUCAGGAACAUAGCAUUUCAGCUAGGCUAGCUGGCAAGCGUGUCCCCGGGAUGACCCUCUCUUCCCCCAGCCCACCCCUAGUUGGGAUUAUACAUAUGCAUCAUCACGACCAACUCUUACACGAGCGCUAGAGGUCCAACUCAGGUCCCCCUUCCUGCACUUUACCCACUGAGCCAUCCUCUCUUCCUGUAGCCUCCUUGGCUUUCUGUCAGUGAUGCUCAUCCUAGACCAACACUCCCAUCUGUAGCUGUCCUGCAGGGGACAGAGCAGACAUGUAUCAAAGCAGUUGUGUGUUGUGUUAGCGUGCCAUCUAGCCCACUGGCUUUAGGAGGGGCCUCAUGCAUGGGGAGUGAGGUGUGCUGUGUGCGCCCUGGAGUGAGGUGUCUGUGUGUGCCCUGGAAUGAGAUGUCUGUGUGUGUCCUGGAGUGAGGUGUCUGUGUGUGUCCUGGAGUGAGAUGUCUGUGUGUGUCCUGGAGUGAGGUGUCUGUGUGUGUCCUGGAGUGAGAUGUCUGUGUGUGUCCUGGAGUGAGGUGUCUGUGUGUGUCCUGGAGUGAGGUGUCUGUGUGUGUCCUGGAGUGAGGUGUGCUGUGUGUACUGGAGUGAGGUGUGCUGUGUGUGUCCUGGAGUGAGAUGUCUGUGUGUGUCCUGGAGUGAGAUGUCUGUGUGUGUCCUGGAGUGAGGUGUCUGUGUGUGUCCUGGAGUGAGGUGUCUGUGUGUGUCCUGGAGUGAGGUGUCUGUGUGUGUCCUGGAGUGAGGUGUCUGUGUGUGUCCUGGAGUGAGAUGUCUGUGUGUCCUGGAGUGAGGUGUCUGUGUGUGUCCUGGAGUGAGGUGUGCUGUGUGUGUCCUGUAGUGAGGUGUCUGUGUGUGUCCUGUAGUGAGGUGUCUGUGUGUGUCCUGGAGUGAGGUGUCUGUGUGUGUCCUGGAGUGAGGUGUCUGUGUGUGUCCUGGAGUGAGGUGUGCUGUGUGUACUGGAGUGAGGUGUGCUGUGUGUGUCCUGGAGUGAGGUGUCUGUGUGUGUCCUGGAGUGAGGUGUCUGUGUGUGUCCUGGAGUGAGGUGUCUGUGUGUGUCCUGGAGUGAGGUGUGCUGUGUGUACUGGAGUGAGGUGUGCUGUGUGUGUCCUGGAGUGAGGUGUCUGUGUGUGUCCUGGAGUGAGGUGUCUGUGUGUGUCCUGGAGUGAGGUGUCUGUGUGUGUCCUGUAGUGAGGUGUCUGUGUGUGUCCUGGAGUGAGGUGUCUGUGUGUGUCCUGGAGUGAGGUGUGCUGUGUGUACUGGAGUGAGGUGUGCUGUGUGUGUCCUGGAGUGAGGUGUCUGUGUGUGUCCUGGAGUGAGGUGUCUGUGUGUGUCCUGGAGUGAGGUGUCUGUGUGUGCCCUGGAGUGAGGUGUGCUGUGUGUGCCCUGGAGUGAGGUGUGCUGUGUGUGUCCUGGAGUGAGGUGUCUGUGUGUGCCCUGGAGUGAGGUGUCUGUGUGUGUCCUGGAGUGAGAUGUCUGUGUGUGUCCUGGAGUGAGGUGUCUGUGUGUGCCCUGGAGUGAGGUGUCUGUGUGUGUCCUGGAGUGAGGUGUCUGUGUGUGUCCUGGAGUGAGGUGUCUGUGUGUGUCCUGGAGUGAGGUGUCUGUGUGUGUCCUGGAGUGAGGUGUCUGUGUGUGCCCUGGAGUGAGGUGUCUGUGUGUGUCCUGGAGUGAGAUGUCUGUGUGUGUCCUGGAGUGAGAUGUCUGUGUGUGUCCUGGAGUGAGGUGUCUGUGUGUGUCCUGGAGUGAGGUGUCUGUGUGUGUCCUGUAGUGAGAUGUCUGUGUGUGUCCUGGAGUGAGGUGUCUGUGUGUGUCCUGGAGUGAGGUGUCUGUGUGUGUCCUGGAGUGAGGUGUGCUGUGUGUACUGGAGUGAGGUGUGCUGUGUGUGUCCUGGAGUGAGGUGUCUGUGUGUGUCCUGGAGUGAGGUGUCUGUGUGUGUCCUGGAGUGAGGUGUCUGUGUGUGUCCUGGAGUGAGGUGUCUGUGUGUGCCCUGGAGUGAGGUGUGCUGUGUGUGCCCUGGAGUGAGGUGUGCUGUGUGUGUCCUGGAGUGAGGUGUCUGUGUGUGCCCUGGAGUGAGGUGUGCUGUGUGUGUCCUGGAGUGAGAUGUCUGUGUGUGUCCUGGAGUGAGGUGUCUGUGUGUGUCCUGGAGUGAGGUGUCUGUGUGUGUCCUGGAGUGAGGUGUCUGUGUGUGUCCUGGAGUGAGGUGUCUGUGUGUGCCCUGGAGUGAGGUGUCUGUGUGUGUCCUGGAGUGAGGUGUCUGUGUGUGUCCUGGAGUGAGAUGUCUGUGUGUGUCCUGGAGUGAGAUGUCUGUGUGUGUCCUGGAGUGAGGUGUCUGUGUGUGUCCUGGAGUGAGGUGUCUGUGUGUGUCCUGGAGUGAGAUGUCUGUGUGUGUCCUGGAGUGAGGUGUCUGUGUGUGUCCUGGAGUGAGGUGUCUGUAUGUCCUGGAGUGAGGUGUCUGUGUGUGUCCUGGAGUGAGGUGUCUGUGUGUGUCCUGGAGUGAGGUGUCUGUGUGUGCCCUGGAGUGAGGUGUCUGUGUGUGUCCUGGAGUGAGGUGUGCUGUGUGUGCCCUGGAGUGAGGUAUCUGUGUGUGUCCUGGAGUGAGGUGUGCUGUGUGUGUCCUGGAGUGAGAUGUCUGUGUGUGCCCUGGAGUGAGGUGUCAGUGUGUGUGCCCUGGAGUGAGGUGUCUGUGUGUGUCCUGUCCUGGAGUGAGGUGUCUCUGUGUGUCCUGGAGUGAGGUGUC